AUGGGACAGAGAGACGAGGAGGACCUGAAGCUAUGCUAACCGAGCCAAGCACGAUUACUGCCGUCCACCGUCUCCUGGCAAAGUGGACGCUGCAGCUGCACGAAUAAGGGAGCUGGAGCAAAAAGUGAUUGAGCUGGAGAAUUAAAUAAAACAGCUUGCAGACCAACCUAGGCUUAACCAUUUCUGCUCAACUAAAGAAGAGUUCCACUUUUUCCACACAAUUUUCCUUGACUCAGUACAAAAUUCUGUCUAAAUAUUUUAGCUUUAACUUACCAUGUGAGCUUCAUUUGUUUUUUGUAUUUUUAGAUUUUUUAAAUUUGAGUGUUUUAUAAAUAUAAUAAAUGAAAUACAUUUUAA